AUUGAACGCUGGCGGCAGGCCUAACACAUGCAAGUCGAACGAGUGGCGGACGGGUGAGUAAUGUCUGGGAAACUGCCUGAUGGAGGGGGAUAACUACUGGAAACGGUAGCUAAUACCGCAUACCAUCGGAUGUGCCCAGAUGGGAUUAGCUAGUAGGUGGGGUAAAGGCUCACCUAGGCGACGAUCCCUAGCUGGUCUGAGAGGAUGACGAGGCAAACUGGAACUGAGACAAGGUCCAGAGUACUAAGGGAGGCAGCAGUGGGGAAUAUAGCAAAAUGGGAGGAAGCCUGAUGCAGCCAUGCCGCGUGUAUGAAGAAGGCCAUGGGGUUGGAAAGUACUUUCAGCGGGGAGGCGUUACCCGCAGAAGAAGCACCGGCUAACUCCGUGCCAGCAGCCGCGGUAAUUC
rnacentral:rRNA from 1 species